GUUGAACGCUGGCGGCAGGCCUAACACAUGCAAGUCGAGCGGAUAAAGGGAGCUCGCUCUUGGAUUCAGCGGCGGGCGGGUGAGUGAUGCCCAGGUAUCUGCCUCGUAGUGGAGGCUAAUAUCCCUAAGGGAGCGCUAAUACCCCACCCGACCAGAGGGAGAACGGGGGGGAUCAUCGGUCAACGCCCGAUCAGCUGAGCCUGGGACGGGGUAGCUAGUUGGUGGGGCAAGGUCCUACCAAGGCGACGUUGCGUAACAGGUCUGAGAGGAUGAUCAGUCACACUGGAACUGAGACACGGUCCAGACUCCUACGGGAGGCAGCAGUAGGGAAUCUUGGACAAUGGGCGAAAGCCUGACCCAGCCACGCCGCGUGUGUGAAGAAGGUCUUCGGAUUGUAAAGCACUUUCAGUUGGGAGGAAGGGAAGUAAGAUAAUACCUUGAUGUUUUGACGGUACCAACAGAAUAAGCAACGGCUAACUACGUG
rnacentral:rRNA from 1 species